rnacentral:lncRNA from 1 species
AAUGCACUGCCUUGGAAGUAAACAGAACACUGAAUACAAUUUUGAGUCUUCUACUACAAAUGAUGUAAUCUUGGAAUGUUACUUAUUUGUCUGUCUCAGCUUAAUCAUCUGAAAAAUAAAUAUAGUCACACACAUAUCUUACAUUCCCUUGAUUGUGUCUUUCAGUCACAGAACCGUAAAUCCAAUCCAUACAGUAAUUACUCCU